GGGCCGCGAGGGGCCAGUUCCGGCUGCCCGCGGGCGCCCUCGCGAGGCCGGGCUGCGGCGGAAGUGGCGGCUACAAAGCCGAGCCAGCCGCGGCGUCUGGGCCAAAGGCAUGCAUUGGUUUUCCAUAGUUGAUGAAGUGUGGCAUGCCAUGGUGGAAAGACCUUGGGCAUUGGGACAGACUGACCUGGAUUUAUACCUGCCUUAGCCACCUGUGAUCUGUGAAUUGGUGCUUCUGACUUCAGUAAGACUGAACAUCAUUUUCUUUGACUACUCAACAAGAAUUAUGCUUCUCUCACAAGAUUUUUGUGAAGAUUUAAGAGGUACCAGCUCUCUCUAUAUAACCCUGGGCUGAGUUGGUUGAGCUGUAGAUGCUAAAUAAAUAUCAGUUCUUUUAUCGUUUUUCACAACCUCGACAAAUCUUUGUACCAGACGCUACAGACAAGGCAAAGAUUAAUAUAACCUGGGUCAGGAUGGUGCAUAGGUUUUAUUUAAUGUGCCAGCCCUCAUGGAAUGUGCAGCUUCAGGGAGCACCUCGUGGAGAUCGCGUUAGGGGUCAGCAAGGAAGAGGAGCACCGCCGACUACCCUAUCCUCAGGUGUGGGAAUGGACAGUGGGGGAUGAGCCCAUCCCACGUUUGCCAUCACAGACACAAACCCUGCUUUGGGGAAGUCAAAGUGAAGGAACUGUGAAAUUCCUGGAGAAGGAAUGAAGAGCUAUUGAACACAAUAGUUGAUUGUCAUAGGGGGUGAUCCCAGGAAAAAUACAAGAGAGUGGAGAAGGAAAAAGCCAACAGAGAACGUGUCAAUGAGUGGCUCACUACUGUGAACAUUUGGGGCUCAUUUGCACUUGUGUCCCCCGAGAGUCUGGGUACAACACCCUUCAGCAUCACUCCAGCAAGAGGGAAGGAGGCUGACUAUUUAUGAUGAGACCCAGGAUUUGGGAGGCAAAACAAACAAAUAAACAAAUAUGAAGAGGGCAGAUUUUGGACCUCCAUGAAUGAUGCCAAAGUUAAGAAAAGCUAAAAGAGGUAGAAGAGGUAUCUCUGGGAAGUGUUCUUCUCUUGCCUGGCUGGCCUUGUACCUGACGGGACUCUGGACAUCUUCCCAACAGGAGCCAUUUUGCAAAGGACGAGAUGAUAGCUCUGAGAGGAUGAGCAACUCACCCAAGUUCAUGUUGCUGCAAAAUGAUAGAAUUGGAAGUAGGUGCCAGACUGCAUCUAAGGAGGAGACACUGAAGUGUUUUUUCCCUACACCGUGCUAAAUAAACUAAGGCAGCGCCUCCCCUGUGCUCUUUCCUGCCUCUACUCCUCUAGUCUCUGUCCUGCUCUUCCUCCUCCUCUUGGUGUCUCUGAAGAGAGGAAAGGGAAAAGGACAAACUGCCCAGAGGCUCCUCAGAUGUUCAGGGGAAGCUGUUCUUGGUUGUACGCUGGCAGUGAUUUCUUUCAAAAAGGCAGCAACAUUGAACUGCCCAAGGUCAGAGAGUCCCAGUGCUGUGGACUUGGGGAAGAGCCAGGGAAGGCAGUGUGCUGUUUGUUUGUUUGUUUUGAUUAAAAAAAAUUUUUUUUUAAAGCUGUUGGGGGGCAUUUUGUGCUUGUGUGUAAGAGUAUGUUUGAGUAUUCUGCUUCCCUGUCCUGGCUGCCUGGCAGUACCCGGAGGUGAAGGAGAUGGUUACAAAUGCAGACAGGGACACUUCCCAACGCUGUAUCAUAGUGAACAAAGAACAACAGUGACGAUGUUUUACACAAAGAGAAGGAUGUGAGAGUGAACUUGGGUGGCAUGGUGUCCAGCCUUUCUGAUAAAUAACACCAGCACGCCUUGGGGAGAGAACUGUGGCCCUUGUCAAUGGUGAGUAAGGCCAGGAGAAAUCACCUUUUGUGGAAGCAUGACUCUAGCCACCUUUCAACACUAGCUAUGCUGCCAUUUCAACACAGAGGUGCAAGCAGCUGGCUAGCGUCUUGAGGUGGGUGAUAGUACCUAGAUAGAAUUUUCUGUUUGCUCUAUUUUCUUUUAGUUAUGAUUCUGUUUAUGACAAAAGAUUAUGAUUUUCUGAUUAUGGUAGUGAUACGUUGUCCCUUUUAACUACAGGCCUUUAAGCAAAAAAGUCAACUUAAAGGAAAAUAAUUGAGUAGAUAAUAGGAUAGUUGGUAUGGAGAUGUGGAAAACCGUUGGAAGAUGGAGGGGCAUCUUGGAUUAUGUCGACACCUGUCUUCCAUUUCAGAUAAUUUAGGACUCGAACGCCAUCAUUUGAGAAUCAUGUGAAACUGGAAUGGUGUCAUUUCAGAACAGAAAAGGAUGACCUAGUCCAAUCUCCCCAUUUUAGAGUUGAUGAAAUGUAGGCUGAGAAGGAGGUGAUUGGCCAAAGGUCUCAGAGUUGUGUUGGCUGAUGACGGGAGUGCGUGUAUGCGCAUGCGUGUGCGUGCAACUGCUGGGAGGGGGCUGGAGCUGGGAGAGGAGGUCGAGGUAGUUGCCAGACAUAGCUCUGCUGUAAGUAAUUCGGGUUGUCUCGGCACCAUAGGGGGAAAGAGGGAAGAGGAGGUGGACACAGGCUUUGAACAAAGUGAAAACCCCUAGAUAACGAGAGGGAAAAUAUCCCGAAAAUCCAAGUUCCUUUUGCUUGCUGCAGCAGCAAGGCCAAGAGCUGGCGGGUUUCCCUCAGUCAUCUCAGCAGUAGCUUUUUCCUGUGGAAUGUGGCGUUAAAUAGGAUAGGUCAGCAUUACGCUUGAACAAAAUGUGAUGACUGAUUAGGAAAUGAAUGGUAAGUCAUGGAUCAUGGUGAUGCUUAUCAACAUCCUCCCCCUGCCCCCACCGGAACAAACAAAGCUGCACUUGCAGGCUCACGAAACUGGACCCAGAUGGCCUUGUCCUUGGGACAAUGUAGCUCUGGCAGUGACAGUCAUCUAUGAGUUAAUCAGGUGUCACAGGAAGAAGAGACUCAAUUGUGCUUCAGCUGUUUCAGGAGGAGUGCUGUGGGGUCUGUGGCCCCCAGCCUCCCCACUUCACUGUGAGGUCUGCCCCCAGUCUUGCUUUCCUGUGUGUAUAACUGCGAGUCCAGCAGUAUGGUGCAGCCCAGGAUUAAAGACCGCCUCCCUUGUGGAUGGGGUUGGGGAGCUCAGUGUGUGGUCCAGGACAGGAACUUAACAUAUAUUUGUGGAACAGACAACUAUGAGGAUGGUUAAAUCAAUCCAUAGUCAAUCAGUAGGGCUCUGCAUGGUGCGUGGCAUAGAGCCAGCCUACUGCUCACCCACAUUCCUAUGUGGAUAGUCCAUCUUUCAGUGUCCCUAUUUCUUCAUGUCUAAACUUCAUAUAAGAAACUAUGUUCUAGGGGCACCUGGGUGGCUCAGUCAGUUGGGCAUCUGCCUUCCACUAAGGUCUUGAUCCCAGGGUCCUGAGUUGGGUCCUGCAGGGGCUCCUUGACCAGUGGGAAGCCUGCUUCUCCCUCUGCCCCACCGCCUACUGUGCUCUCUCUCCCUCUCUCUCAAGCCCUCUCUCUGUGUCAAAUAAAUAAAAUCUUAAAAAAGAAAGAAAGAAAGAAACUGUGUUCUACAAAUAUGUUGUUGGGAUUUGAGAGAUGAGUCAUGUGAGUGUAGGGGUUGCCUAUUCAUUCAUUGACUCAUUAAAUCAUUCAUUUAUCCAACCUACUGAUAUUUAUUAAGCAUUUAGUGCAGAGAGAGUCUAGGCUCCUUCUUAUAAAGGUUGAGACCUAGUGGGGAAGUCAGGUAACAACCACAUAAAAGAAAUCAGAAGCCAAGAUAAUGCUUUCAGAAUAUCAUACCUGCUAGAGUAAAAUAGCGAUUAGAUGGAAAUAAUACUACUAAGACUAUUGAUGAAAGCUAACAUUUGUGAAACCCCACGCACCAUACCUGUUGUAAACAUUUACCUGUAUAAUGUGUUUAAUCCGUAUCAUCACCCUAAAAGAGGUAUAAUUGUUAUCUUCAUUUUAUAAAGGGAAACUGAGGCACAGAGUUAGAAAGUCAUGAGGAAAGGGGGGAUAUUUCAGACAGCGUGGUCAGGAAACAUUUCAAGGGAAGCACACUUAAGCAGGGGCUAGAAGUAAGCAUUUCUUGUGCCUCUCCAAAAUCCAUGAUUUCCUUUCUAAUCACCCCUCUUCCACCCCACCAAUGCCAUUCAUUGUCAUCGCAACUACCUUCUAAGUAGACCAGCGCUCCUUGCAGCCAGAGUGGUGCGAAGGUGUGGGGAGGACAGAGAAAUUGGUCAAAUGCAUUGGCCCAUUUAUUGCUCUGUUGACCUUACCAGGGUGUGGCUUAUUUGUGGCCUCUAAACUUGAAGGGUACAAGGCUUAGACCUCUGGGAUGGCAUAGCAUGGAGUUAUAGCUUGUCCUCUGUACUUGCCCAUGGGGAGGCUUGAUCUACAUCUUCUAUUCCCUUAAGCAUUCAGUCAUGGUCAUUUACUGUGGGAAUGGGAGCGAAGAAAACAUAGUGGUGGGGGGAAUACUCAGAAUACUCUUAUUCACGCACACAAUACAUUACGUUUCAAGGCCUUUCAGCUGCACAUCCCACCCGGGUAUCUGGUCCCAAGGACCUUGUGAAGCAGGGAUUGUUACGCGCAUUUGGAAGAUCAGAGACAGGGAGGCUGAGAAUCUUUAGAAGUGCAGCCAAGCCCCCAUCCAGCA